GACGAACGCUGGCGGCGUGCUUAACACAUGCAAGUCGAACGAAAAGAGGGAAAGAGCUUGCUCUUUCCGGAAUUGAGUGGCAAACGGGUGAGUAACACGUAAACAACCUGCCUUCAGGAUGGGGACAACAGACGGAAACGACUGCUAAUACCGAAUAAGUUCCAAGAGCCGCAUGGCCCAUGGAAGAAAAGGUGGCCUCUACCUGUAAGCUAUCGCCUGAAGAGGGGUUUGCGUCUGAUUAGCUGGUUGGAGGGGUAACGGCCCACCAAGGCGACGAUCAGUAGCCGGUCUGAGAGGAUGAACGGCCACACUGGAACUGAGACACGGUCCAGACUCCUACGGGAGGCAGCAGUGGGGAAUCUUCCGCAAUGGGCGAAAGCCUGACGGAGCAACGCCGCGUGAGUGAUGACGGCCUUCGGGUUGUAAAACUCUGCGAUCCGGGACGAAAAGGCAGAGUGCGAAGAACAAACUGCAUUGACGGUACCGGAAAAGCAAGCCACGGCUAACUACGUG
rnacentral:rRNA from 1 species